rnacentral:rRNA from 1 species
UACAGAGGGGGCAAGCGUUGUUCGGAAUUACUGGGCGUAAAGGGCGCGUAGGCGGCCUUCUAAGUCGAACGUGAAAUCCCCGGGCUCAACCCGGGAACUGCGUCCGAUACUGGAAGGCUUGAAUCCGGGAGAGGGAUGUGGAAUUCCAGGUGUAGCGGUGACAUGCGUAGAUAUCUGGAGGAACACCGGUGGCGAAGGCGACAUCCUGGACCGGUAUUGACGCUGAGGCGCGAAAGCCAGGGGAGCAAACGGG